rnacentral:rRNA from 1 species
UACGGAGGGUGCAAGCGUUAUCCGGAUUCACUGGGUUUAAAGGGAGCGCAGGCGGAUUGGUAAGUCAGUGGUGAAAGGCUUAAGCUUAACUUGGGAACUGCCAUUGAUACUAUCAGUCUUUGAAUGUUUGUUGAGGUUUGCGGAAUGGGUCAUGUAGCGGUGAAAUGCAUAGAUAUGACCCGGAACACCUAUUGCGAAGGCAGCAGGCUAAACAAAUAUUGACGCUGAGGCUCGAAAGCGUGGGGAUCAAACAGG